CCUACGGGAGGCAGCAGUGGGGAAUAUUGGACAAUGGGGGGAACCCUGAUCCAGCCAUGCCGCGUGUGUGAAGAAGGCCCUCGGGUUGUAAAGCACUUUCAGUGAGGAAGAACGCCUGGUGGUUAAUACCCAUCAGGAAAGACAUCACUCACAGAAGAAGCACCGGCUAACUCCGUGCCAGCAGCCGCGGUAAUACGGAGGGUGCGAGCGUUAAUCGGAAUUACUGGGCGUAAAGCGCGCGUAGGUGGCUUGAUAAGCCGGUUGUGAAAGCCCCGGGCUCAACCUGGGAACGGCAUCCGGAACUGUCAAGCUAGAGUGCAGGAGAGGAAGGUAGAAUUCCCGGUGUAACGGUGAAAUGCGUAGAGAUCGGGAGGAAUACCAGUGGCGAAGGCGGCCUUCUGGACUGACACUGACACUGAGGUGCGAAAGCGUGGGUAGCAAACAGGAUUAGAUACCCUAGUAGUC
rnacentral:rRNA from 1 species